rnacentral:rRNA from 1 species
UUUCUUACACAUGUGUUUUUCUUUUUUUGAAAACUUUGCUUUGGUAGGCCUUCUAUAUGGGGCCUGCCAGAGAUUAAACUCAACCAAAUUUUAUUUAAUGUCAACCGAUUAUUUAAUAGUCAAAACUUUCAACAACGGAUCUCUUGGUUCUCGCAUCGAUGAAGAACGCAGCGAAAUGCGAUAAGUAAUAUGAAUUGCAGAUAUUCGUGAAUCAUCGAAUCUUUGAACGCACAUUGCGCCCUUUGGUAUUCCAAAGGGCAUGCCUGUUUGAGCGUCAUUUCUCCCUCAAACCCUCGGGUUUGGUGUUGAGCGAUACGCUGGGUUUGCUUGAAAGAAAGGCGGAGUAUAAACUAAUGGAUAGGUUUUUUCCACUCAUUGGUACAAACUCCAAAACUUCUUCCAAAUUCGACCUCAAAUCAGGUAGGACUACCCGCUGAACUUAAGCAUAUCAAUAAGCGGAGGAA